GGGUUGUGAGGUUAAGCGAAUAAGCGUACACGGUGGAUGCCCUGGCAGUCAGAGGCGAUGAAGGACGUGCUAAUCUGCGAUAAGCGUCGGUAAGGUGAUAUGAACCGUUAUAACCGGCGAUUUCCGAAUGGGGAAACCCAGUGUGAUUCGUCACACUAUCAUUAACUGAAUCCAUAGGUUAAUGAGGCGAACCGGGGGAACUGAAACAUCUAAGUACCCCGAGGAAAAGAAAUCAACCGAGAUUCCCCCAGUAGCGGCGAGCGAACGGGGAGGAGCCCAGAGCCUGAAUCAGUGUGUGUGUUAGUGGAAGCGUCUGGAAAGGCGCGCGAUACAGGGUGACAGCCCCGUACACAAAAAUGCACAUGCUGUGAGCUCGAUGAGUAGGGCGGGACACGUGGUAUCCUGUCUGAAUAUGGGGGGACCAUCCUCCAAGGCUAAAUACUCCUGACUGACCGAUAGUGAACCAGUACCGUGAGGGAAAGGCGAAAAGAACCCCGGCGAGGGGAGUGAAAAAGAACCUGAAACCGUGU
rnacentral:rRNA from 1 species